GGGGGAAUUUUGCGCAAUGGGGGAAACCCUGACGCAGCAACGCCGCGUGGAGGAUGAAGUCCUUCGGGACGUAAACUCCUUUCGAUCGGGACGAUUAUGACGGUACCGGAAGAAGAAGCCCCGGCUAACUUCGUGCCAGCAGCCGCGGUAAUACGAGGGGGGCGAGCGUUGUUCGGAAUUAUUGGGCGUAAAGGGUGCGUAGGCGGUUUUGUAAGUCUUAUGUGAAAUCUAUGGGCUCAACUCAUAGACUGCAUGAGAAACUGCAGGGCUCGAGUAUGGGAGAGGUGAGUGGAAUUCCUGGUGUAGCGGUGAAAUGCGUAGAUAUCAGGAGGAACACCUGUGGCGAAAGCGGCUCACUGGACCAUAACUGACGCUGAUGCACGAAAGCUAGGGGAGCAAACAGGAUUAGAUACCCUGGUAGUCCUAGCCCUAAACCAUGAUUGCUUGGUGUGACGGGUACCCAAUCCCGCCGUGCCGUAGCUAACGCGUUAAGCAAUCCGCCUGGGGAGUACGGUCGCAAGGCUG
rnacentral:rRNA from 1 species